GAUGAACGCUGGCGGCGUGCCUAAUACAUGCAAGUCGAGCGAACAGACGAGGAGCUUGCUCCUCUGACGUUAGUGGCGGACGGGUGAGUAACACGUGGAUAACCUACCUAUAAGACUGGGAUAACUUCGGGAAACCGGAGCUACUACCGGAUAAUAUAUUGAACCGCAUGGUUCAAUAGUGAAAUACGGUUUUGCUGUCACUUAUAGAUGGAUCCGCGCCGCAUUAGCUAGUUGGUAAGGUAACGGCUUACCAAGGCAACGAUGCGUAGCCGACCUGAGAGGGUGAUCGGCCACACUGGAACUGAGACACGGUCCAGACUCCUACGGGAGGCAGCAGUAGGGAAUCUUCCGCAAUGGGCGAAAGCCUGACGGAGCAACGCCGCGUGAGUGAUGAAGGUCUUCGGAUCGUAAAACUCUGUUAUUAGGGAAGAACAAAUGUGUAAGUAACUAUGCACGUCUUGACGGUACCUAAUCAGAAAGCCACGGCUAACUACGUG
rnacentral:rRNA from 1 species